UGAAAGAAUCCUCAGGUAACUGGACAGAGU
rnacentral:piRNA from 1 species